UACGUAGGGGGCAAGCGUUGUCCGGAAUCAUUGGGCGUAAAGAGCGUGUAGGCGGCUCGAUAAGUCUGCUGUGAAAGUCCAGGGCUCAACCCUGGGAUGCCGGUGGAUACUGUCGGGCUCGAGUCCGGAAGAGGAGUGUGGAAUUCCUGGUGUAGCGGUGAAAUGCGCAGAUAUCAGGAGGAACACCAAUGGCGAAGGCAGCACUCUGGGACGGUACUGACGCUGAGACGCGAAAGCGUGGGGAGCGAACAGG
rnacentral:rRNA from 1 species